rnacentral:rRNA from 1 species
AUUGAACGCUGGCGGCAUGCUUUACACAUGCAAGUCGAACGGCCGCGCGGGCUUCGGCCUGGCGGCGCGUGGCGAACGGGUGAGUAAUUCAUCGGAACGUGCCCAGUCUUGGGGGAUAGCCCGGCUAAAGCCGGCUUAAUCCCGCAUCCGACCUGAGGUUGAAACCGGGGGACCGAAAGGCCUCGCGCUAUUUGCUCUGCCGAUGUCGGAUUAGCUAGUUGGUGGGGUAAAGGCUUACCAAGGCGACGAUCCGUAGCUGGUCUGAGAGGACGACCAGCCACACUGGGACUGAGACACGGCCCAGACUCCUACGGGAGGCAGCAGUGGGGAAUUUUGGACAAUGGGGGCAAGCCUGAUCCAGCCAUGCCGCGUGAGGGAAGAAGGCCUUCGGGUUGUAAAACGCUUUUGUUCGGGAAGAAAUCCUCUGGGCUAAUACCCCGGGGGGAUGACGGUACCGGAAGAAUAAGCACCGGCUAACUACGUG